AGGAAGAACAGAGAUGGAAGGAAGAGAAGGAACAAAGAUAAAAGGAAGGAAGGAAAAGAGAGUGAGAGGAAGGUUGAUGAGAAAUAAAGGGAGAGAGUGGGGUGCGCUUCCUCAGAGUUAUCCCAAGGAGCGGAAUCUAAUCUCGUUCAGAGGGAGAAGAUGUUUUUGCCCAAUCCUGACGAGGGUGCUGCUGGAUUUACGAGCGACGGGGAACAAGGCGGCGCCGAGGCCACGCGUCGUAAACCCGGGUGACGACCAACGACUUCGACAGGUCAUAAAGUCAGUGUGGAUGUGGUGGUGGUGGUGGUGCCGUGGUUGGUAAUGUGGUGGUGGGUGUAGUUAAGCGUGGUUGUAGUUGUAGGUGGUGGUUGUGUAUUAAGUAAGGGCGGGGUAGCUGGUGGUGGUGGUGGUGGUGGUGCCGUGGUUGGUAAUGUGGUGGUGGGUGUAGUUACGCGUGGUUGUAGUUGUAGGUGGUGGUUGCGUAUUAAGUAAGGGCGGGGUAGCUGGUGGUGGUGGUGGUGGUGCCGUGGUUGGUAAUGUGGUGGUGGGUGUAGUUACGCGUGGUUGUAGUUGUAGGUGGUGGUUGUGUAUUAAGAAAGGGCGGGGUAGCUGGUGGUGGUGGUGGUGGUGGUGGUGGUGGUGUGUGCGUGUGAUUCUGAAAAAUAUAGGUUGCUAAUUGGUGGUGUUGAUGGAUAUGCCUUGUUGUUGUUGCUGUUGGUGGUGGUGGUGGUGGUGGAGAUGAUGGUGUUGCUAUUGCCUUUGCUGCUGCUGCUCUUUCUGCUGUUGCCGUUAAUGGUAGUGUUGUUAUUGGUUAGUCUCUAAUAAGACUUAAUGAAUAAUAACAUAGAUGUCUGAAGCAAACAACAAUGCUCACCUUAUCAAGAUUCAAUAGGUAAAAAAAAGAAAAUAGAAAUGAAAAAAAAAAGAACCAUGUAUAUUGAAACAAAGCGACGGAAGAUAGGAAAGCGAGAUAAGCGAGUCAAAUAUUCUCGCAGAGGCGGAGUAAUACAUCGACUUCUAUUGGCCAAUGAAGAUGACAAGAGUGGGAAGCAUCACGUCAUUCUGCGCCGCUCCUCUACUUGCUGCUGCGUGGCGCGUGUCUGUACGUUUCAUGUGUCUCUAGUGAUUUGUCGCGGCGGCUGUCCAUGGGUGUUCUGUGCGUGAGUGGGUGGCGUGAUGUGGCGGGAUGUGUGAGGCUGGAUAGAUUAUAAGGACACGGAGGAGAAGGACACGAGGAGGGCGAGCAACUCAUCUCCUUCGAGCAAAUCGAUUCGCGUUGUGUGGGCAUCCAAGUGUUCUGUUGCGGCCUGACUUAUUAUGCUGGCUUGGAGGAGUGUGAAGGUACGCUGGCUGGAGACAGUAAGGAGCUCACACCUGCGAUUUUAUCCCCGCCACGCUAAAGG